rnacentral:lncRNA from 1 species
GAGGAAUCCUAUUCGGAAUAAGGGAAUUUCCCUUAAAAAAAAGGGAAACGUUGACAGCUAUGCCCCAGCCCAAGAUACACAUGCUUAAAUCCCCUCUUCUGCACAGCUGUGGAAAGGUGUAAGACCUCUGUCCUCUUCUGCCCCUGGCCACCCUAACAGACUCUCGUAUUCCAUCCUUUACCAAGGAACCUGUUCAUUGGAUAAUCUAGUCUGCUGUCUAGCAGUUAGAGAUUGGAGCAGAAAUGCAGAGAGUGCUGGAAUAUUCUAAGGAGCCCCCAAACAGGUUGCACAGGUAAAUUGAAACUCCUAACCAUAGAUAGCUCAGUUGGUAGAGCGUGAGACACUUAAUCUCAGGGUUGUGGGUUUAAGCUCCAUGCUGGGCGAAAGAUUCUUGCAUUGUAGAGGGUUGGACUAGAUGACCCUCAAAGUACCUUUCAGCUCUACAAGUCUCUGAUUCUAUUAUUAUGAUUCCUGUUUUCAUGCUUGGGAAGUACUAAAAGUAAGUCUGUGAGUUUAGGUGUGUGCGCUGUCCUCUGGGGAAGCAAUGCAUACUCCUUUUUUCUUUUAGUUACACAAGGUGUGAAAAACCCAAAAUAAUUACUGUUGUGCAUUUCCUAUUUUUAACAUGUAAAAAAAGUAGCAUGCGUAUGCCGCUUUAAAAAAAAAAGCCAAUGUUGCCUUCAGUUCGAGUGAGGUACUGUGAUGUCAUUGAUGUUCAUUCUGAAAGUAUUGCUUUCCUAGAGAUGCCAAGUCUGUCAGCUCAGUCAGGACAGUUGCUAAGAGACAGUGGAAUGUCGAGGAUCACUUUUACACUGAAUCAUUCAGAUAGAUAUUCAAGGGGGAACAUAAUGUCACCGUAUGCUUUCAAUGAAGUCACAUCAAGUACUACUUUGAAUUCCUUAAAUGUGACAAAUGUGUUAAUGUUUUCCAGUUUUAAAAGAUUAUACAGAAGCUUUAAAGAGUGGAAAUUUUUAAAGCAUUACAAAUUCCACACUCUUCCUUUGAUUCACCCUCUUGCCUUUGCUCAAAGAAAUGUAACCAAAGAACUUGGCUCCAAAGCUCAUCCACAGCUGAAAUUCCUCCUGAUGUAUUAGAACUAGAAUACCCUCAACUGCAGCGCAGGUGACUAAAUUAUUCCUUUUGAAAUCGAGAAUUAUGUUAAGUAAUUUAACUUCUACUCAAAGGUAGAAUUUAACUUAUGAAAUAUUUGCUGUUAGCCAGUUAUAUAACACCUUUAAGUGGAGUGAAUUACAGCCUUGCCAUUCAGCCUCACAGUAGACCUGUGAGAUAAUAAUUUAUAUUUGAUUCUCAUGCCCCUGUGUUUCUAUUUCUGUCCUGUUACAUCUGAUGUGUGAUGGAAAUGGAGGGCCACUGGACAUAGCAAGUGACAUAGAUAGGAACGUGGCUGAAUUAGUGCUCUGAGAUACCCUUCAUUCCCCUGCUUUAAACACAGGCGCUUACCUUAUACCGAGUCAGGUCAUAGGUACAGCUAGUUCAACAUGGUCUUCAAUGACUGGCAGCAGUUCUCCAAGAUUUCAGACAGGGGUCUCUCCCAGAGACUGAACCUGCAUGCAAAGCAGAUGCUCUGCCAUUGAGCAGCAGCCCCUCCCCAUUUCCCAGUACCUCCCUCUCCCCCCUCUCUCAGGCAACUGGGCACUGAAAGACUGAAGUGCUUGAGAAGGUGGUAACCUGGAAGAGUGAAACCAGGGUCAGGAUAGUCAGCACUGCCUGUCGCUGUGCACUUUCAGUUGACAUCUCCUUGCCAAAGUGAAGGGUUUAAGAUGGCAACAAAUGCUUAGCAUCUUUGGUUUCUCCUGGGUUAGAGGUGGGCAGCCUCCAGACUUGCAAAAUCUGCUGUUUCCUUUCGUUAGGACCACCAGGUUCAGAAAUCUAAGGAAUGCGGAACAGUAGGUAAGGAGGGGAGUGGCAUCAAUUACCUACUGUGCCCCUUAAACUGUACAAAUACAAAUGUGAAUCUUGAGUUACUCGUGAUCUAAAGCAAAAGUCACAAUGUGGUCAGAAGAGUUGCACUAAGAUCUGUUCGAAUUAAUAGUCUUAUUUUACAAGUAUGGCCACAGCUGUAACCAAUGUGGCACUACAACUCCCAUCAACCAGAGGGAGCAUGGCCAAUGGCCGGAGAUAAUGGGAUUUAUAGUCCAGAAACAUCUGAAGGGUGUUGGCUGCUCCUGCUAAGAGAUAAGCUAUUAGCACACGGUGAGCAACAGCAGAGAUUUUUUUCUUCUUCAUUCAGUUUUACUUGCUGUUGGAAAAUUACUGGGAGUAAGAAAACCUUGCUCAUCAUCUGCAAAUCACAAAGCCAUCUACCACUAGAGCCUGAUCUCCUUUCUCUUUGCCUUUGUCCCAGUACAGCAACAACUUGAACAUCCAGUCUUAAGAUCAUUUUAGUGAUAGGAGGCUGAACUUUUUUUAACAAAAGCAACUUCAGGGUUGUUAAUAAUUGUAGAAUUACCUCCCACACCCAUAAUUCCAAAUCCAGUUACUUUGGCUGGACAUUUGGCUGUUCAGUGGGUGUAUAAAGACUGGGGAUCUUGCUGCAUAAGUCAGGGAUUUAGGGUGCAAUCCGGUACAUGCGUACAUGCAGUGGGACUCUCAUUGAAUGCAGUGGGUCUCAAUACUGAAUAAAUAUGCAUAGGUUUGCUCUGUAGAAAUGGAAGAGAAAUUCUGCAUUUCAGAAUUCUGAUCUAUUAUGUGUUGUUCUGAUUCAGCUGCAUUCUAGGACAACAGAAGAUUUGUGAGAUGACAUGGG